UAAGGAAUAUUGGUCAAUGGACGCAAGUCUGAACCAGCCAUGCCGCGUGAAGGAUGAAGGUCCUCUGGAUUGUAAACUUCUUUUAUCUGGGACGAAAACGGGAUUUUUAUCUCAAUUGACGGUACCAGAGGAAUAAGCACCGGCUAACUCCGUUCCAGCAGCCGCGGUAAUACGGAGGGUGCGAGCGUUAUCCGGAUUUACUGGGUUUAAAGGGUGCGUAGGUGGGCUAAUAAGUCAGUGGUGAAAUCUCCGAGCUUAACUUGGAAACUGCCGUGCAUACUAUAGGUCGUGAAUUAUCUGGAGGUAAGCGGAAUAUGUCAUGUAGCGGUGAAAAGCUUAGAUAUGACAUAGAACACCAAUUGCCAAGGCAGCUUACUACAUAUAAAUUGACGCUGAGGCACGAAAGCGUGGG
rnacentral:rRNA from 1 species